UACAGAGGUCCCAAGCGUUGUUCGGCUUCACUGGGCGUACAGGGUGCGCAGGUGGUUUGGCAAGUUUGACGUGAAAGCCCCGGGCUUAACCCGGGAACGGCGUUGAAAACUGCUUGAACUGGAGGAUUGGAGGGGGGACUGGAAUUCUUGGUGUAGCAGUGAAAUGCGUAGAUAUCAAGAGGAACACCAGUGGCGAAGGCGAGUCCCUGGACAAUACCUGACACUGAGGCACGAAAGCCAAGGGAGCAAACAGU
rnacentral:rRNA from 1 species